AUACCUAAAGACUAAACUGAAGACUUCUACAGCACCAUGGCAACCAGACUCCUAAUGCUUCUUUCUCUGGCUCUCAUCUCCAGCCACUGGACUUUAGGAGAGGUCCCAGUGGACUGCUGUCCGGGGGUGACCGACAGAGAGUUACCUUGCCAACGAGUGAAGUCUUACCUGGUGAAAGAUGCUUCUACAGGCUGCCACCUCGACGCCACUGUUUAUAUAACACGGAGAGGUAAGCAGCUCUGUGUGCCUCAUCCAACUCAGAGACACUGGGUGAGAGCAUGUAUAACUGCUGUGGAUGCCAGAGCAGCUCGGCACUAAGAUGCAGGGUGACGAUGACGAUGGCAAUAAUGAUGAAGCAAAUGACCAUGCUGGCGACGAGAGUGAGGAUGACGAUGCAGAGGUUUGAGGAUGUUGAUGAUUGACGUAUAUGUUAAACUACAUCAAUUGACCUACCAUGCUGUAACCGAAAAACAAAAUCAAACCACCUCAGUGUCAAAUAUUUUGUAAAAGUGUACCAUGUCUAGUAUAUGCAAGUAUUUGUGAACCAUGGGACCAACACAACAAUUGUGGGGUUAAAGAUGUUCAUCUUCUCUCUGAUUAAGCUAAAAUAAGUUGUGUAACUCACCCUUUCUUCUUGUCAUAUUUCAAUAUAGUCAGUCUCUCUAAGGUCUCUGAUUCAAGACUCUCCAGUGUCACCAUAUCAUAAAAUGGUUCUCCCCUUACUUCCCUCCUUAAAUUGAAUCUACAUUUCUCCUGUUUUGUAUAUAUACAGUUUUUUCAUUGUUAUUUACACUUUCUUUUAUUUACAGUUUUUUUAUUUCUUAUUACUGUUUUGUACUUUGUUCUGUGAAUUUCCUGUCUGUGAACAAUAAAGUGUAUUCAAUUCAA